rnacentral:rRNA from 1 species
AUACGUAGGUGACAAGCGUUAUCCGGAUUUACUGGGCGUAAAGGGCGUGUAGGCGGUCUUGCAAGUCAGAAGUGAAAUUCCUGAGCUCAACUCGGGCGCUGCUUCUGAAACUGCAGGACUUGAGUGCUGGAGGGGAUAGCGGAAUUCCUAGUGGAGCGGUAAAAUGCGCAGAUAUUAGGAAGAACACCGGUGGCGAAGGCGGCUAUCUGGAAAGUAACUGACGCUGAGGCGCGAAAGCGUGGGGAGCAAACAGGAUUAGAUACCCGGGUAGUCCACGCCGUAAACGAUGAAUACUAGGUGUAGGGGGUAUCGACUCCCUCUGUGCCGCAGUUAACACAAUAAGUAUUCCGCCUGGGGAGUACGGCCGCAAGGUUGAAACUCAAAUGAAUUGACGGGG